AGCAGAGUGGCCUAAUGGAAAGAGCACGGGCCUGGGAGCUGGAGAACCUGGGUUCUAAUCUCGGCUCUGCCA
rnacentral:tRNA from 1 species